CUCCUUGUAAAUCUAUUCUAGGUUGUGUCUGAUAAGCCCAAGCUCCCGAUCCCUCCCACUCCCUCCCCCUCCCAUCAGGCAACCACAAGUCUCUUCUCCAAGUCCAUGAUUUUCUUUUCUGAGGAGAUGUUCAUUUGUGCUGGAUAUUAGAUUCCAGUUAUAAGUGAUAUCAUAUGGUAUUUGUCUUUGUCUUUCUGGCUCAUUUCACUCAGUAUGAGAUUCUCUAGUUCCAUCCAUGUUGCUGCAAAUGGCAUUAUGUCAUUCUUUUUUAUGGCUGAGUAGUAUUCCAUUGUGUAUAUAUACCACAUCUUCCGAAUCCAAUCAUCUGUCGAUGGACAUUUGGGUUGUUUCCAUGUCCUGGCUAUUGUGAAUAGUGCUGCAAUGAACAUGCGGGUGCAUGUGUCUCUUUUAAGUAGAGUUUUGUCCGGAUAGAUGCCCAAGAGUGGGAUUGCGGGGUCAUAUGGAAGUUCUAUGUAUAGAUUUCUAAGGUAUCUCCAAACUGUUCUCCAUAGUGGCUGUACCAGUUUACAUUCCCACCAACAGUGCAGGAGGGUUCCCUUUUCUCCACAGCUCCUCCAGCACUUGUUAUUUGUGGAUUUACUAAUGAUGGCCUGAAUGGUUUUUCUUAAAGCAUGGGAGUUCCCGUCGUGGCUCAGUGGUUAACGAAUCUGACUAGGAACAAUGAGGUUGCGGGUUCGAUCCCUGGCCUUUCUCAGUGGGUUAAGGAUCCGGCGUUGCCGUGAGCUGUGGUGUUAGUUGCAGACGUGGCUCGGAUGCCGCUUUGCGGUGGCUCUGGCGUAGGCCGGUGGCUAUAGCUCCGAUUAGACCCCUAGCCUGGGAACCUCCAUAUGCCGUGGAUACAACACAGAUGGCAUGUUUUGAUGGACAGAAUGACAAGUGCAUACUGGGAGGGAAGGAAUAGGUGGUAUCAUCUUUGGAUACUGCUGACCAUAGCAUCUUCCUGCCUAAAGAACAGGAAUCUGAAACAUAGCACCUACCUCUGAAGACACUAAACAAAAUGCACAAAAUGUCUAUUUGGACCAGAAGGAGCAUUUGAGACUGUCAGUGGCUGUCUUCAAGGGUUCAGAGAACUGAUGUGAUUCCCUCCUCUGCUAUAUUUCUGGAAAAGCAGUUCACCGACCAACUCUAACUAGAGGAAACUUGGGCUGACACUGAACAUUCACUUCGUGCUUUCCCAAAGCCUAAGGGAGCUUUGUGGAAGGGAGGCAUGAUCAAAUGGAAAGAACAUGGCUUUGAGCCUAACAAAGGGUUUAGACUCCUCCGCCUGCCAGGUGAGACUUUGGGUGGGUUACUUUCCUGAGCCUCCGCCUUGUCCUCAGAAUAGUGCCCAUGGGACCUUUUCUCAGGCCUUUUGUGACAACUACACGGUGAUGAUAUAUGCAGGUGUCAACUGAAGUGUUUAACAAAUGUUGUAUCUAUUGCACUCAGCAACAUUUCUCGUUCUUUAAAGACCUCACUUUGCGAAAAUACUGAAAAUCACAGGGAAAAGAAAACAUUCUGUCAGAUACUUAGGAGAGAAGGAGAGGAGAGAGAGCAAGGAGCUAGGUAGAUAUUUAAUGAGUAAGGACAUUUAAUUUACAAGGUAGAGGUUCAUUUGUUGGGUGAGUCACCCGAAAGAAUGUGUCUGAUAUUGAUAAGCAUCUUGUGUACUUUCAUUUUCCAGAACAGUGAUUCCACCUCUCUUGGAACAGUCAUAUCUGCUGAGAAGUUUAAGGAAGGAACCUUGAGAAAGCAUCAGAGGUGGCUUUGGAGGUGGAAUCUAAAGAAACUAGAGGAGAGAAGAAAGGAAGAAUGGAUUACAAAAGAUGAGCAAGAUGCCUGGAAUUUCACACGUACAUCAUCUCUUUGGUAAUGAAGGGGAAAUCCCAGGAUGCAUCACUGCCCCAGAUAGGCCAGUGCAUCCCUGACCUAUUGAAACGAGAUAGUGGAAAACAAGGACCGAAUUAUUUCCCAAAACACCCUUUGAUUCAGUGUAGAACCCCAGUUUUCCAUACUUCCGUCUAGACUGAUGCAAUUAUACUCUGCUUCCUAAUGCACAGCUCUGCAGUUAAUAGGAACGAAGAAUACCCAUGAUCUGGUCUCUAAGGGUCCCUAAAUAGAAAUCAGGAGGACUUUUUCCCUAUCUAAUACGUAAUUCUUGGGAUGAAAAAGAUAACUUACAGGGCAAGAAGGAAGAGGGCUAGGAUGAAUUAACGUGCAUACUGUAUGGCGGCUGCUAAGCUGGGUACUUCACCACGUUUCUCUCAUUAUGUAUUUUUAUACCAACGAUGCAAUAACAGCACUGAGAAAUAAAAUAUUGCCUGCCAUAUCAGUAAACAAAAGAUGUCACAGUCAUCAAAGAGUGCAGCCACCUCCAAGGGUCAGCAGGUGAGCCCUGAGAGAGCUCAGGAAGGAAAGAAUACCUCCUAUCUAGCAGCCAGCAGACUGCAGCUACUCCCAAGGUGAGGCCUGAAGAAAUUCAGGAGAAACUAGGGAUCCAGGCCCCAGAGAGCUGAGGUGCAUAUCGAAGGAGUGAUUUCAGUGAGCCCAGACCCAGCAUCUCUCCAUACUUGGAAAAGUGCUAAAUUCCUUGACUUGAGAUGUCUAGUUUUCUGUUAUUGGCAAUGCUCUUUUGUUCCUACUACCUGCCCUUGGUUUCAAAACUCCUAUCUAGCUUCCCCUUUGCCUCCUCAGAGCAGCUUUCUCAGGAUUACUUGAAAUGCUGCCACUGAGCUGAAGUCCUCAUUUUUCCCUGAAUAAAACUUAGCCCUCAACUUUUAGGUUGUGCAUAUAUAUUUUUUUAGUCGACAGCACUAUUAGCCAUAUUUUAUGAGGCAUAAACUGAGGUUUAGAGAGAAGGUCAGUCAGGUAAAGAUGAAUUUAGGAGUUCCUGUCGUGGUUCAGUGGUUAACAAAUCUGACUAGGAACCAAGAGGUUGCGGGUUCAAUCCCUGGCCUUGCUCAGUGGGUUAAGGAUCUGGCAUUGCCAUGAGCUGUGGUCCUGCAUUCGCAGAAGCAGCUCGGGUCCUGCAUUGCUGUGGCUCUGGCAUAGGCUGGCAGCUACAGCUCCAAUGAGACCCCUAGCCUGGGAACCUCCAUAUUCCGUGGGUGCAACCCUAGAAAAGACAAAAAAAAAAAAAAAGAUGAAUUCAAAGUCCAAAGUGUUCAUUCAAUCAGAGCCUUUGUUAUGUAAAAGUAAGAUAAAAAAAUCCAAGAUGUGUCAUAAGUCUUUUUGCCUCAAAGAGAAAAACCUAGUAGAAAUAUAACCUGAUAAAGUUGACUCUUUCAGAAUGUGUGGCAGAAAAUUUUGACAAAAUUUUAGAAAGACAAAGGUAAUCUGAAGGAUUCAAUUAGGUUUGAUUUAAUAUAUGCAAGGAGCCUACCAAUAAAUAAUACUAACCACGCUCUUCACCGAAUUGUCAACUGCAAAACCCCAGUACAUAUUUGGUCACAAUAAAAAAUGCUACUUUAAAAAUUCCCAGAAAGAGGGAUUUUUAAAAUUACAAUUUUCUUUUUUUACGUUGCAAUUUUCUUUCCAUAAUUUAGGAAACCUAGGAAUCAAAGACCAAAUUCAUAGAAUUUGCCCAACAAACAGAAAAAUAAAGCAAAUAGUUUUAUAAAGCUCAACCACUGGAAAAGUAUAGGAUACUCUUUGACAUAAACCAAGGAGCAAAGAAGUAAAAUAGAAAUUAAAUCUUAUCUAGGAACCCAUGAAAAGAUGAUUACUUGUUAUCAAACCUAUGGGAUAUCAACCUAUAAUUAGAGGGGAAUGUAUAGCCUAACACGUUUUCGUUAUUUCAUUGAAAAGUAAUGAAUACUUUCAAUUAAGAUUCCGGGAAAAAAAAGACACGUAAACCAUAAGGGAAUACGUGGGAACAGACAAAUGCAAGAGGUGAAAUUCAUGACAUAGAAAACAGUACAGUAGAAAAGAGAGAGAAGCAGAUCCUGGUUCUAGGAAAAGACCAAGGCAGGAAAUUAAUCAUGGUGAGCUUGAUGAAGGGGAAAAAAGGUGUUCACUUCAUUUGCUCUGGGGCACAGAGUGGAAAAUCUAUAAUUAAAGUCUUGCCUGUUUGCAUCCAGAGCCCUGUCUAAAUACAAUAUUCACAAUGAAAAGGAUCAAGACAAGUAGGAUGUUAAUAAACUGACUUGAAGAUGGUGAUCAAGGUUGUUCAACAUUUCCAAGGUACACGGGCUAUAAGAAGUUCAGAUGACCUACAUCCUUCUUCUUUUCCCUCGCAGGGUCACAGAGAAAGCCAUGCUUGAUUAACACUGAGGAUUUGCGUGCGACCUAUGGCUGGUGUCCAAUGACUUCUCCCAUUUUCAGAACACUUCUGUAAUGUUGCCGUCAGUGGUGAAUAUAUGACAUCCAAGGAAAGGUGAGGCCCUGACACUAAGAGGAAUACAAUGACCAGUCCAAGAGGACAACCCAGAACUGGACUUCUGGGGCCUGACUGAACUGGAUUGAGGUAUCGGACACACUUUUACAGAGGCUAUUUAGGAGGUAGAUUUUAUGAGCCUCAUUUUGCCAAUGAUAACACUAGGGCACAGAGAGGUUCAGCAACCCGCCCAAGGCCACACAGCCAGGAAGGAGCAGGAUCUGACCCCAGGCUGCCUGACUCCGGAGCCCAUGCUUGCAAACAUUCCACUGAACCAGGUCGUAAUCCCUGCUGAAUGAUUUCAGCUCUCCUGCUGUCUUCCCCCACCUCACUGUCUCUCGAUGGACGUUCACAUUUCCCGGCUGGCCCAGAAGCUGCGAUAGGGUGUUAUGAGCUGUUAGGUUAAGAGGGGUGAAGCCCUGUGAAAAGAAAACACACUUGCUCCCCUUCCUCAGCUGCGCUGGUCUUUCCUCCAGCUGAUCUUUCUCCUGUUAUAUAAAUGGAAUGUGAUACAAAUGUUUCCACCAUGAGUUUCCUUUCAAAAGAUGAAUAAAAGAAUGAGGCGUUUUGUUUUCCUUUGUUCCCUGGUAGCACCUAUGUUAAGAAUUUGUGCUUAAAACAUGACUCACUAAUUCUUGGAGCAAAGCACAAGGAAGUGAAGGGAUCUGAUGUUUCUCUGAGAUGUAGGCUUGAGCUUGUGUGGGAAAGAAGCAACUGGAACGGCUUAGGCACAGUUUCAUUCAAGAAUACAAUGCUCCUGCUCUUACCUCUUCCCCAACAGCUCCUAACAUGACUGUUGUGUUCACGUAGCCCCGUUCGCUUUCUUGUAUCAUUGUCAAAUAUUUCAGGCAAGUGAUAUCUAGUUCCCUUGCGUGUGGGCGUGUGCCGAACUGUUUGAGUUUAUAAUUAUUAACUGAAUCAUUGGUUUGUUGUUUGAUAGGCAGUUUGGUUUGGGAACAGUUAUUUACAGAACAAAAGCAGGAGGGAGGUGGUUUAAAUAUGGUGCAUGGUAAAUAAGCUUGAGAAGUACCUAAUUUUUGUGGACUUAAGUAUAAUAAGCUUUCAACUAAGCCUGAAGCAUUUUAAUUCCCUGAGCCUAUGCAUGCUAUGGGCAGGCUUUAUCCCGUUGGAGGAGUGAGAUCUGAAUCUUAGCACACAGAAAGACAUUCUCAGAACCUGCUUUCUAGAAAGGGAGCCAUGUGGGCCACUUCCACUUCCUCACCCCCUCCAGCCCCAGUCAUUUGAUUGCCUGGAAUGUUGGUUUUAUAAUUCGCUGGCUCCAGGGAGCUGCCUGAAUGUCCGUGAGUCAGCUUGCUGGCUACUGGGGGAGCCAAAGCAGGCUGCCUGGGUGCACAGAAUGUUUUCUUUGGAAGGAACCCUCUUCCUUGAAUUCCUUUUCUUUGCAGGAGACAAUGAGGAGUGGGAAGUCACUUUGGGUGUGACUGUUUAUCUCUCUUCUUUCCUAUUCAUUGCUCAAUACCUUCAAAAACAUCGGUCCUCGGGCAAAGAAGCAUUUGGGGAAUCAGCUAGAAGGACAUUCCAGAGGCCAUCCUUUCUGUUCCUUGACAAAAUCUCUCCCAAUAGCCUCUGCUUCUCUAUCCAUAGAUCCCCAAGUGUGUCAGGGAACAUCUACUGUUUCCUCCCGACAACUGUGGCACAGACUGAAAAUCAGGGUUGUCAUCAAGUUUUCCCUUGUUAUCAAAAUUAUAUCACUCUUAGAUACUUUAGCAUCCCUCCCGCUGAACCAGGCUCAACAGUCACCUGGAUUAUCAUGAUUGCUGUGCUGCUACAACCACCAUUACGGAACCCUCUCACCUCCACCAUCACUGGCACUACCCCUGGCAUCACCACAACUAUCCACACCAUCGGGGCCAUCACCCUCCAGAACUCAACCACCAAAAACUACCAUUCUAGCUGCACCAGUGCCACAUUCACCAUGACCACGAAUAAUGGUGCCAUCAUCACCACCUUCAUUUAAUUCAGUAGUUAUUUACUGAGCAGUUAUACACUGAUGGUAGCCUGACACUCUAGUAGGCCCCAGAGAUAUCAAAAAUAAUAUGCCAUGAUUCCUGCCCUGGAGGACAACAGUCUGUUAGCGGAACUUAGAGAAUUGUACGAAUGGCAGUUAUGCAAACUACAAGGAAAUAUAUGCUGUAGGAGAGAUAUAAAUAAGAUGCUGGGUUUAGUUCAAAAGUUUAGUAAUUCAGGAGGAUCAGCUUAAAUGUCACAUUUUCUGGUAAGCUGGAAGCUGGGGAUGGUUUCAGCUCCAAGUAACGUUAAGAGUCAAGCUAGAAUAAUGAAGACAUAAUUAUUGCACGUGGCAAGAUGUCUAAUGCUGGCUCAGUGGCUCAAGAAUAGCAGGGCUCUAGGCCACCACUGAUGUAAUUCUCCUUCCUUUUCAUUCAUGGCUACAACACAGUGAUCUCCUAUGGCCAAUUGAGGUCAAAGUCAGCUAACAGGGGCGGCAGAGUGGAGUGAGACCUCCCUUGUUGAGCCUAUCAGCUGUGACAAGGUAGAGAAAACAUCUCUCAUAAGACCAGCAAAGGCCCUUUCAUGUGUCUUUGGCUAGAACUGAGUCACAUAGCCACCCUUCACUGCAUGGGGAGAGGCCCGGACGGAUGGCCUGGCAUUUGCGGCCUGUCUAGUGAAGGCAGAAAGGGAAAAGGAAGAAAAGGGACAAGGAAAUUGUUGGUUGUUAUGAAGGCCAAUUACUUGCCAAUUACAGAAAAGAACCCUAUAGUUCUGCCCAAGGAAGCUUUCUAUGAUCCUCUGGAAGGUUCUGGGGUU
rnacentral:lncRNA from 1 species